rnacentral:rRNA from 1 species
GUGUCAGCCGCCGCGGUAAUACAGAGGGUGCAAGCGUUGUUCGGAAUUACUGGGCGUAAAGCGCGUGUAGGUGGCGAUGUAAGUCGGGUGUGAAAUCCCUUGGCUUAACCAAGGAAGUGCACUCGAUACUGUGUCGCUUGAGUACCGGAGGGGAUGGCGGAAUUCCCGGUGUAGAGGUGAAAUUCGUAGAUAUCGGGAGGAACACCUGUGGCGAAGGCGGCCAUCUGGACGGUCACUGACACUGAGACGCGAAAGCGUGGGUAGCAAACAGGAUUAGAUACCCCCGUAGUCC